rnacentral:tRNA from 1 species
GGGAAGGUAGCUCAGUGGUAGAGUGCAUGCCUUGCAAGCAUGAGGCUCUGGGUUCGAUUCCUCAGCACCA